UGCUUCUCCUGGGUCCCGGACCUUCUGGGCUCCCUCCGCCGUGGCGGCCCACUCCCCCGCCCGGGGCGCACUGCUCCUUACCCCUCGGCCCCUCAGGCUGUGCCCGCACAGCCAAGCCCAGUGCUCCCCCAGGGACUGACCUCCGGAGCCUGAGUCUCGGCGCCCAGCCCCGCCCGAGCAUCUCAGGCUGUGGCCUCCUGGCGAAGUCUUACCGCAGCCCCUUCCAUACCAUACCACAGUGUGCUUUCGUGCAAGGAACCAGAUCUCGCCAGGGAGGAGGUUGACGUCCAUUGACUGGGGACCCCAUCGGGACCAGCUCUGACACAGGAGACACGAUGGCUCUGGGAGGCACAAGCUGUCCUAGGUUGUGGAUGCUCAAAGAAGGAUGAAUGUGCCUUGGCAAGCAUUGUGGAGAAGCCCAGCACAGCCUUUCGUGAGCCAGAAAGGUUAAAACUGUGCUGACAGGACAGCCCCAGCUCUCUGCUGUUGGAAUUUUUUUCCUGCCUUUUCAUCACAAUUGCAAUCAGCACACUACCUGCUUUCAGCAACAACAGAAACAGCUGGAUCACCCAUUUUGAUGAGGGAUUACUCUUCAGUAUUUAUAGUAACACCCAUUUCACCAAGUGGAACCCAAAAGAAGGAAAAAACAAACAAGUGACUUUUCUUGUAACAGGUAACUGUUUUCUUUUGUAUUAAAUUUCCUUCCCUAUUGCUUUCACCAGCUUCAGAUUCUGAAGCCCGUUUUGCCACUCAGGGGACACUUUGAAAGCAGCCAAACCAAUGUAGCCAAUAGAAAUUUAAUUUUAAAAAUACAGAGCUUUUCUUUAAAUAUCCUGUAGAAGCAUUAAGCAGAAUAUUAGGGGAUAAAAACAAGUACACAACCAUGCCAGAGACCUUGAAAUCUGAACAGGGACUGUGUUUGAAGUCAGACAUGCAUAAAUAAGUGUCUUUUCUCAGUGAUACUAAUGAAAUGGUUAAUUCUGUUGUCAUGGCAACAAAGAACAGCUGUGAUAAAAAAGCUAAAGGUCUAUACAUAAUGCCCAAUACAAGGUCUCUCUAGUUCUAAAGCUGUUUUUCUUAGCCACAAUAGAAGUGAUGUGUUUUCAAUAUCAUCCUAGGCUUUCACGUCAAAUCCUUCCAGUUAAUCCAAUAAAUAGACCAGUAGCAUAAAAAGGAAUAUAUGUUUGCACAUUAUAAACCUUAUAAAAGAAGUUUACCUAUGCGCAAUCUUAAGAGGGGAUCUGGAAAGUAAACAUACGUUUCUGCAAAAAAUACAAACCUUUACUAAGUGGAAAUUGUAAAGAAUAAAAUAUGUUCAAAUGGGCUAUCAGUAAUUAUCAAGCAUAUUAUUAUCUAGCCAGCCAGCAGGAAUGUAUUAUAUUUGAGAUGACAACAUCAUUGUCCACAACAACAGCGAUGCAACAGCAAAAAUAAUUCAAUUUUUUUAAACUCACCAAAAUAAUAAGUGAGUGUGUUUCCCAGGCCCCUCCCUGUUGUCUGUGUGACAGUGAAUUCACUGCAGUUUGCUGAGUCAUCAUGGCAGUGACUCCACGGCCAGGUUGCAGGUCUAUUUUGGACUCUGAAAGAGACCCAUGUAAUAUUUCAUCUUCUUAAACCGCUUCGUCCCACCUUCUGGUGCUGAGGUUGUGCUGGCUUUCCUGGUCUUCCUCUCUCCUCUCCUCAUGGGUCUCGACCGGAAGUCCCCUCUCCAUGCUCCUCCGUGUUUGUAGCCUGGUCACUCAGGGAAGAAAUGACCUUCCUUUCCUUGCUGAAUCUAGUGGUUGCAGGGGACCUAGUGGUCCCCGAUUCGAUGUCCUCCCACCUGUCAGCGUGAUCUUUUAAAAACAAAUCAAAUUGUGUCACUGUCUUAAAAUCUUUCAGCUAGUCCCCCUUUACCUUCAGAAAAAACAUCCAGACUCCAGACGUCUUCCUCUUUUUAUUCA